AUGCCUUAAACUGAUGAGUAAGGAAAAUAACGACGCGGGGUGACGCCCGUGUCCUCGUCUAACUAAACGAGUUUAAUUUUUUAAAGGGUAUAGGUCUGUUUGCUAAGGUGACUCACUUACUUUGUGAGAUGCCUUGCAAGCCUAUGAUCUACCCU
ensembl:snRNA U12 U12 minor spliceosomal RNA